rnacentral:rRNA from 1 species
AGAGUUUGAUCAUGGCUCAGGACUAACGCUGGCGGCGUGUCUUAGCCAUGCAAGUCGAACGAAAAUUAUUUUUGACGCAAGGAUAAAAUGAUUUUAGUGGCGAAAGGGUGAGUAACACGUGAGUAAGCUACCCUCAGGAAGGGGAUAACCCGGAGAAAUCCGGCCUAAUACCCUAGAUAACUUUUGAAGGCAUCUUCGAAAGUUUAAAGAUGGCCUCUACAUGUAAGCUAUCACCAGAGGAGGUGCUCGCGGUCCAUCAGCUUGUUGGUGGGGUAAUGGCCUACCAAGGCGAUGAUGGAUAGCCGGCCUGAGAGGGUGAACGGUCACACUGGCACUGAGACACGGGCCAGACUCCUACGGGAGGCAGCAGGCUAGAAAAUUGUGCAAUGGGCGAAAGCCUGACACAGCGACGCCGCGUGAAGGUUAAGGCUCUUUGUAGUUGUAAACUUCUUUUGUGUAGGAAGAUGGUAAUAUAUACUAAUAAUGUAUAUUAUUGACGGUACUAUACGAAUAAGCUCCGGCUAAAUCCGUGCCAGCAGCCGCGGUAAUACGGAUGGAGCAAGCGUUGUCCGGAAUCACUGGGCGUAAAGGGGAUGCAGGUGGUUUUGUAAGUUAAGGGUGAAAUUUAUAGGCUCAACUUGUAAAUUGCCUUUGAUACUGCAGAACUAGAGGACAGGAGAGGAGAGCGGAACUACCGGUGUAGCGGUGGAAUGCACAGAUAUCGGUAGGAACACCAGAGGCGAAGGCGGCUCUCUGGACUGAUCCUGACACUUAGAUCCGAAAGCUGGGGUAGCAAACAGGAUUAGAGACCCUGGUAGUCCCAGCCCUAAACGAUGAGCACUAGGCGUAGGACUCUUGAGUUCUGUGCCGAAGUUAACGCAUUAAGUGCUCCGCCUGGGGAGUACGCUCGCAAGAGUGAAACUCAAAGGAAUUGACGGGGACCCGCACAAGCGGUGGAGGAUGUGGCUUAAUUCGAUGCAACGCGAAGAACCUUACCUGGGUUUGACAUAUAAGUAGUACCGACCUGAAAGGUGAAGGACCCCUUCGGGGGAGCUUAUACAGGUGCUGCAUGGCUGUCGUCAGCUCGUGCCGUGAGGUGUUGGGUUAAGUCUCGCAACGAGCGCAACCCCUACCUUUAGUUGCCAUCAGAUCUUCGGAUGCUGGGCACUCUAACGGGACUGCCUGCGUAAGCAGGAGGAAGGUGGGGAUGAUGUCAAGUCAUCAUGGCCUUUAUAUCCAGGGCUGCACACGUCCUACAAUGCCUGAUACAAAGGGUUGCUACACUGCAAAGUGAUGCUAAUCCCAUAAAGUUAGGCCAAGUUCGGAUUGUAGUCUGCAACUCGACUACAUGAAGUUGGAAUCGCUAGUAAUCGCGUAUCAGCAUGACGCGGUGAAUAUGUUCCCGGGUCUUGUACACACCGCCCGUCAAGCCAUGGAAGCUGGUAGUACCCGAAGUUGCUGACCCAACUCGCAAGAGAGGGAGGUACCUAAGGUAAGGCCAGUGACUGGGGCUAAGUCGUAACAAGGUAAC